AAAUAAAUACUGCUUUAUUGUGCAGAAUACAAAAAUGUUGACGUUUCAGUCACAAUAGAAAAGUCUUGAGAAAAGUCUAUUGUGACUGAAACGUCGACAUUUUUGUAUUCUGCACAAUAAAGCAGUAUUUAUUU